CCACACUGCAGGAUAUAGAAGACUGUUCAUUUUACUCUUGUGACAAGACUACAGUUUUCUAAGAGGAGCUUCAAGCACAGAAACGGGUUGGCGGCAAAGACAUGCAUCAGACCAACUGUUGAGUUUUAACCCUUGGCCAUGGGUCAGUACAAUGUAAAAGGAAUUGGAAACAAGAGAAGCUUUUCUACAACAAGACUGUAGAAACUGAUCAGAGAGAUGGUGCUUUGGCCAACUGUCCAACAUCUACUGAAACAGAUAUAGCAAGCUUCAUAGGUUAAUAUUUGAAACAAACAUGCUCCAAG